AAGUCGUAACAAGGUUUCCGUAGGUGAACCUGCGGAAGGAUCAUUCAUGUAACAAUGAAAGGGUCAUUUCUCUUCGGGGGAGUGACUUGAUCGUCCAACCUGUGAACAUUAUUAAUUUUGGUGACCUAGUAGUGUUGAUGCCACCUCUUGCGGGAACAAGGGAGGAGGCGUUGACCAGAAGCAGGCGCCAGGGGCUUUGCUAACCAUUUUUACAUUAUUGCCUAAAAAUUUAAGUGAAUUAUUAUAACCUUUAACAAUGGAUCUCUUGGCUCCU
rnacentral:misc_RNA from 1 species